CACACCAACACAGGCACUGCAGCUGUUCAUAUGUAGAUGUUUAUGCUUCCACUUAAACUCUAUAACCACUGCAUAAGUUGCUUUUACUGAAGCAAUGAAAUAAAGGGUUGCCUCUUACAUGCCUGUUUGAUAGUACAGGAACCACCAACACCCAGCAGCUGAAUGACAAGUGGCCAAAGGAUUGUCUUUUCAGCAUGGACCAGGAGACUUCUACUGUUUUGCAUAACACUGGAAAACACAGCAAGAACCCAUAUAUUUUUUACUUCAAUGAGGAUUUUGCUGCAGGGACAUGUCAGAGCAUCUGAAGCAAAGAAAACAUCCUUUAUAGGCCAAAAGGCAAAGCGGGAAAAGAAGUGGAGCAAAGGCCCUUGGAGAAUCUCUGCUCAGAUGGUCCUUCACAAAUAUUGAUGGCUCUCACACAGACUCCGUGGAUUCCACCAGUGGGUGCUGAUGCCAAGUUACUGAACGCUGAAUUUGACAAGGGCCACAGAGAGACCAUCAAUCAGCCAAAACCAGAGAAAACCACAUGCAACAGGGGAAACAGAAUAUGAGAAAGUAAUUAAGAGGAGGAAGGAGGGCAGGAGAUCCAGGAAACUGGAAUGGCAAAGUUGAUGGAAGGGAAAUGACAAGCUGAGUAUACAUAGAAACGCAGAAAUACAUUUCAAGUACAAAAAAAAAAAAUGAAAAGAAAGAAAGGCCAGAGCCCAGAAUGGAAUGGAUGUGGUCACAAUCCUAUUUGAGGAUUUUAGAAAAAGUGUUUAGAUUCAGCUGUAUUUUGCUAGUCCUUUUGUAAAGGCCCAACUGUCUAGAAUCUCAGCAUUGCAGAGCAAAUCUCAUUGCAAGAAGAAAAAGAGAAGCGAGAGAUGCUUCCUUCCUUGAAAAGUACUCAGUUAAAACCUUAAUUUUCAAACAAAGGAAUAGGUCAAGUUUUCUAUGUUAUUUUAGUGCUUAUAGCUGCUUACAAAUGCUUUGCUGUGUUAGAGUGUGGGCAGAUAAAGGGAGACUGAAACUGCAGUUUGUUCAAGGAAUCAAGAACAUAUACCAGCCCAGAAACCAGUAUGCAAUGGCACAAAUAACUGCACAGGGGUCUUACGAAGACCGAAAAUGGUAUUAACAUGUCAGCCUUACUAGGCUUUUCAAAGAACCAUGUUGGCAGAAACAAUUCAGCCAAAAAAACCUGACAGUUUAUUCACAUGGAGAACAGAUACUACAACUUGAUACAGCCACAAAUGAGCCCUAAGAACUUUCUGAAGAACUUCCUCUGCAAAUUGUUUUGAAAUAUUAUCCGAGUUCUACAGUUUGCAUACACAUAGCCAAUACUCUGUUGACAAAUCAAAAUGAAAUAGGAAACUCUCUGGUGAGAAGAAAUUCCUUUAAAGCUACAGGUGCAAAAGAACAGGAACUGUCUUUCUGUUAUGUAUGUUUGGUUUCUUAUCUGCUGAAGAUGACCAGUGUGUAUCAGUCCCGUUGAAGUCUAUAAAAGCAGACUGAGAUAUAGAAAUUGUGGAGCUGUUAAGAAAAAGGGAUUUACCAUGCUCACAAGUACCUUUGAGAAGAAAUGGAAGGAAAACGUGGCAUGACAAACUCAGGAGCUGGUCUGAGGAUUUGGUUGUCUUCUCUCAUAAUGUAAUAACAGCAGCAGAUUGCAGAGCAGAUGGAGAAGAACUAGACUUCAAGCAAUGUACAAAUUAACAAAUUGAGGAGAUUGCUUCUUUACUGUAUUACUUGAGAACAGUAUAUAAGGAACAACUGGGUCUAGGGCCAGUCAUCUGACAAGAGCUGGCAUAUAAUCACGGCAAAGAAUCUCACAAGGAAAAUGCAGGGAAGACAACAGCCUGUUCUUCCACUCCUUGGCUGACAAAGCAAACACCUUUAUCGUGACUGCUUGACUGUCCAAUGGCUGAUAUACACUGAAAGAGUCCAACACUGGAUCUGCUAUACAUUUGCUCCUAUUGUACUAACCUCUACAUUUUCUGGUCCUUACACUACUCAGAAUUUUAAAUAAGUUAUCAUUGAAAUAAAGGGGAAAAAUUGUCAGAAGCUGUUUGAGGAUUUUAUCUUCAAGACAACAUAACUAUUGCAGACUGUUUAUUUUACAAUACAGUCUUCUUUUAGUGAAUUGAAAAUGACUUAUCAGAACACAGACACAUCAAAACCACACACUGGAACUGUUUGCUCAGGCACUAUCACUUGCAAUAUAACUUUAAGGCACACAAAUGGAGAAGAGACACAAACUGUGGUGUGAACUGCAUCCUCAAAGAAGAUUCUCCUAAUUUUUCCCAAGGACUAGCACAUCACCAAACAAUGGGGAGAGAGGUAUACGCAUGCAUAUUUGAUACCCAGACACUAAACUUUGAUAGUUUUGGCUAUAUUUUUAAGGUCAGUUAGUUACAAAUACUGGGUUUCAUCUCAACUACAGACUUAAAAAACAAAGCAAACUCAGUUUCAGCUACUAAUUCUAGGAUCGUCUAGAAAAGUCCACUUCUCUCUACAGUCAAUGGAGAAAAAUAAGCACCUUACAGAUGUAAAUAAUCUGACUUAGACAACUGCACUGGGUCUGGCUGGAACGGAGUUAAUUUUCUUUAUAGCAGCUGUGUUUUAGAUUUGUGACCAAAACAGUGUUAAUAACAGACUAAUGCUGCCUACAGAGGCUAACCUGCAAGAACAUCUCCAAAUAAGAUGAACCAUCUUUUGGAGUUUUCAGUUCAGCUAAAUUUAGAAGUAGUUUGUUAACUUUAAACUUACUUUUGUUGGGUUCUUAAGCUAUGAGAUGACACAAUAUAGAUUUGAGUUUUAAUACUGGCAUGGUUGAGAUCAUUAGACUGAAGGUCUAAUGUCCAUAAGAUGUCUGUGCAACACAGACCUCAAACCGCAACUAAAACCAGUGAGAUACUAAAGCUGAAAUAUGCACUUUGGGAAAAUACCACUAACUGAAAAAAACUUACCUUUUAUUUAGACAUAAGGUUGAACAAGACAUUUCCAAAUAGUGUAAAAGAUAACGUGAUAAAACAUUGCCAGUAAGAAGCCUUUACAAGAAUGAGUAAACUGCAAUUAAGAUUUCGAAGUACUACUGUUAAAUGAUAACCUGAUCCGGAAAUAGUUUUAUGCUGUCUGAAAGUUAUCAUCCACAUGUUACAAGCUGAAGCAGAGUGUCAUUAAUAAGAAUACCUCAAAAUCUUUAUAUUGGAUGCACACAAAGCUUCAGGAACAAUGCCAAUGUUUUUUACAGUAAGUAUUUCCUUAGUUUACUUAUUGAUUAUGUGAGAGAUUUUGUAAUGAAAUUGAUAUUCUAUAUUGAUGAGCAGAAGAAACAGAAGGUUGCUUAAUGUCUCUGCAGAGCAAUUAUAAACCGUUCUCUCUGCUGCAGAAUAGCCACUGCAAAAAUUCUCCCUGCAUUCUGAAACCAAUUGAAGAUGUGAGAAUGGCUAGAAGUGCCUGCUCUGAAGCAGACAAGGCAGAAUGUAAUUCUUCUGUUAACAACCUAUCUUUUAAGCCUUGUACAUCAAUAUUCUGGUUUUUUUUAAAGAAGAUAAAAGAUAAUAAACAGCUCACUUCCAAGCAGUAAUGGACACACCACUGUGAAGGUAGAAGGCAGUAAAAUACUGUGAGACCUAAUCAAUAGAAACUACUGGAUAGAGGUAGACUAUGAUUAAAUUACCAUAUUUCAGGACUUUCUAAUCCCAUUUUUGUAAUUAAAAUUUAAAUACAACUUUCUUCAAAAAUUUAUUAUUUUCAAAAUCAGUAUUUCACUAGCUGUAAAUCAGGUAUCAUGUCCACUUCAUGUUUUUUCAAAAGUCUUUUUCAAAUGUUUACACGUGAACCAGAAAGACUUGUAUCAAAAGUCAGGUCAUAUCAUUAAAUCAGACAUAAUACUACACACCUCCUUUUGAUGUAUGUAUUGGCUCUGGCUGGGAUGGAUUUAAUUUUAUAGCAGCCCAUAAAGUGCUGUGCUUUGCAUCUGUAGCCACAAUGGUGCUGCUAACACACCAAUGUUUCAGCUAUUGCCGAGCAGCACUCACACAGCAUCAGGGCUGCCUCUCCAACCCACCACCCAAAAGGCCUGUAGGCUGGAGAUAAGCAAGAGGCUGAGAGGGGACACAGCCAGGAUACCUGAUCUAAACUGACCCAAGGGAUAUUCCAUACUCUAUGGUAUCCUACUCAACAAUAAAUGGCAGAGGAGGAAGGAACAUUCACGGUUACAGCGUUUUGUCUUCUGAAGCAACUGCUAUGUAUGCUGAGGUCCUGCCUCCCAGGAAGCUGCUGGACAUCUGUGUGCCAGUGGCAACCAGGGAAUAAAUUUCUUCUCUUUAGCUUUGUUCCAUGCAUGGCUUUUUCUUUUCUUACUAAACUGCCUUUACCUCAACCCAUGAGCUUGUCCAUCUUAUUUUCUUCUCCUGUCCUGCUGAGAAGAGAGCAAGAGAAUGAGAGUGACUUGAGGGGAGUGUGUCUGGCAGCCAGCCAAGGUCAUCCCUCCAUAAUGUUCAUGCUGACUUUCUAUUAGCAAAACAGGUUCACAACCGAUAGUACUCUGAUUUCAUUUUAAUAUUACUUUAAAUAUUACUAAAGCAACAUUUCAAAUAUGAAUCAAUGUAAAACUUCUGGUAGGAUUUUCAAAGAUGUCCAGCACCUACAUUCAUCCUAUUUAGCUCUUAAUAACAUACUGUUAAAAUAAAUACAAUUAAGAGAUUUCAAAAGAAUAAGCGAUCUUCAUUUGCUAACAUCACUUAUUUAGAAAACCAAUACCAACAGCUGUGUAAAAUUCCAUUUUCACAUUUUGUUCAACUCACCUUAAUCUAGAUAGAAGUACUGCAAUCCUAUCUACAGACCAACCUUACAUCAUCCACUUUUGUCCACUCUCUGGGUUGUUUACAACAUUUAGGUCUUCAGUUCAAAAUCUACAAUUGAGAAAUCUCAACAUUAAUAGGACAACGCAGAUGAUCUAUUAAAAACCUAAGUAAGAAGUAUCCCCAUGUCUGUGAGUUUAUCUCCUGCAAUGUUUAAAGAACCUUUUCUUAUCUUCAUCCGAAGCCUGGUCACCCAGUAGUCUGUCAAGUUUGUGAACUGAAAUUCCAUUUCUUGUUCUGUACUACAAAUGAAACCAAAACCCUCUGCUAGGUAAGAGAAAAAAGAAGGGACUGUGACCAUGUCUCUUUUAAUUUACAGGCACACUGCAUUAUAGUGAGUCAUCUUUUUAAUUUCCCCAAAUGCUGUAUCUCAGAGCUGGCAGGAGAUCUGCCUCUUACAGGAAUCCAGUUCCACUGUUUCACAUCCAGUUUUCACAUUUCCUGUUAUACUAGGGGGCGGUCAUUUGCCAGCACUUAAAGCUGAUGGCUUUUUACUCUUUUCUGUACUGACCAGAAUUCAACUGUUCUACCGGUGAUUCUUUAUUCAAAAUAAAAAAGCAGGCAAGUAACAGUGCAAAAGAAUGAAUUUUAUGUAUUUUCAUAUCAUGGAAACAUAGAACAAAUAUAGGUUGGGAAGAACCUUUGGAGAUCACCUAAUCCAAACUCUUGCUUGAAGAAGGGCUGAUUUCAACCUGACCAGGUUGAGGGAAGCAGAGGAUCUUUCCUCAAAAGAAGAGCACAGCCCAGACUGUUGCUAAAGUUCCAGACCUCCCCAAGGGUUGCAGGUAAGAGGCGAGGAGCAGCACGAAGGAUAGCUACCGUUACACUGAAGAGGCCACUUGGUGAAAAACUGCUUAGGGUUUCAUAAGGACAACAGUAUAAAUAUCCCGGCCCUCUUUGGCAACUUGGAUGACCCAUUUCAGGAAGACUGACAGCAGCAAUCACUCCAAAAGAAAAGUUUACUCCAUGCUCUGCUGAUUUAAUUACUUUAAAUGAGUUUCAACUGAUCAGAUUUGGAAAGACAAAGACAAACUGCUCACCUAAACUUGAAGUGAAAGUUGUCUUUUUUUGCCAGAAAUAAUUUUGCUUAGUAGCAAGGUUCUUUGUGAUAGGCAUUCUGAACCGAUGAAAGUGUCACUCAGUUUUUGAAAAUUUCAGAUGAACUACAUUCUUCUUGGCAGUAAUCAUGUUGUUACAUAAAGAAAAACACAGUUCAAAGUAAAAAGAAAUGAGUUAACUGGCUUUGGAGUGAAAAGCCUACUAAGUUUUCACAUUAAACAAGGAUUUACUACGAGAAUGAUAAAGAAACAGCUAUACAUUUGGAUAGUUAAAAAGGCAUGAUCACUGGGCUGGCUUUGGUCUUUAACUGGACUGCUGAAAGAGAGAGUAAUUAGAAAAGAGAAAUAUUUAAAAAUUGCUAUUUCCUUAAAGGAAAACAAGGCUUUGGUAUUAAUUCAUCACAUUGUAAGGAAGCUUUUCUAAGGCCAAGAGAACUCUCUUAUAAGCAGACCACUCAGGAGUGAAAGAAACAUGAGGAACAUACGGGUCUCCUCCACAGGACAGUUGGAUUCUGAAUGUGCUGUGGAUAUGAUACAUGUCCAUUACUUUUCCAACACACUGUUUCACCUCAUUCUCUGUAAUCUGUUGCAGGCUUGACAAUGUCUGGCACAGCCCCAUAUCCAUACUGCAACCAGUAUGGCUGGCUGUAACAGCAAGUACAGUGUUGCCUUGUUAUGCAAAAGUACCUGUGGGAAGACAGCAUUAGCCAUAUGGCUUUUUUCUGACAGAAGAGUAACUUAGGGUUUGGAAAAUAAGUACAUGAACUCUGCUGGUAUCAUGCCUUCAGUCUGCAAGAAAAACAGAACAGAAUUUUUCUGCGGGUUUUAUAUCCCUUUUCCUCCUGCCUUUUGUUUACCGCAGCCCUAACAGUUGGCUUGUCGUUACAUGCAUCUCUGUCUCCCAGGUAAGAUUUAGCUAUCAGCGCUUCCGUUUCUCACAAAAUGUUAUCUGACUACCGUGACGUAAA